rnacentral:misc_RNA from 1 species
GGCACAUACGCUUGCAUGCGACAACGUGAGCGCGAACUGAGUCCCUGCCCCGGCCCCACGCCCCGCGCACACGAACGAGAUAAAACACGUUUCCCAACGGCAGCGGCCAACGAAAAUUUUACCGCGUCCAUCUGCCCGUCCCGCUCGCUCGCACGUUUGUUGUCCGGCGGCCAGCGCGAGUGCAACAGGGACGACCGCCUGCCGACCAGCUUUCGCCCGUCUCGCCCGCUCGAGUCCGUGCGUUCAAAUUCGGCGGCGAUUUGUACAACAGGAAAAAUAGAAAAAAUAGUUUUGUGCAUGGCGGACAGAGGUUGCCGCACGAUUUUCCUUUGAUUUUUAGUGGAAAACGCUCCGACGACAGCGUGCAGACUCGUAUCGUGGACGGGGAGCGCGCAUUUUGGUGGCUGGCGGCCGCGUGACAAAAUCUCUUGUGAGUUUUCCAGUUUUCCGCGUGAAGAACGAUCCCGAGCCACCGCGAGUCGCUGAUCCAAAUUUCCCGAAGUUUUCCGCGGUUCCCAGUGGGAGCGGGGUCCAGACUCAGUGAAACAAACGCGAAGACGUUCCGGAAUUCCUGCUGUCCGGGUCGGGGCGAGUUUGUGCGGAAAUUGAGGUUUUGUUUUGCUCACUGGCGGGCCCCGUGUGAACGUCAGACUCGAGUCCACGACGUGGAAUUAAAGGCGCGGAAACGUCAACAUGGGGGCUUACCUGACAGUGCCCAACACAGAGAAGGCGUCCAGCGACGACGCGAACGAGUUCAUGGAGGUCGGCGCCAGCUCCAUGCAGGGCUGGCGGAUCAGCCAAGAGGACGCGCACAACUGCUUCCUCGACUUCGAUGUGAACACGUCCUUGUUUUCGGUGUACGACGGGCAUGGGGGCGCCGAGGUGGCGACUUAUUGCGCCGAGCGGCUGCCCGCAUUUCUCAAGGAACUGCCGGCCUACAAAAGCGGCGACUUCGAACAGGCCCUCAAAGAUGCUUUCCUCGGCUUCGACAGGACUCUUCUGGAGGAAGAGGUCAUCGAGGAGCUGAAGCGCCUCGCAGAGAAGAACCCGAACCAGGACAGUGAGGUGGCCGAGGACGAUGAGGAGGAGGACAUCAUGGAACUGUGCCAGGAGGGGUCGCUGCCACUCGACCAAGUCUUGGAGAAGUACAAAGGCGCGGCUGCGAAAUUCCCGCUCCUGAACAAACUCAAGCAAGACGAGGCUGGAGCCUCGGGCUCCGGAAUCGCCAAACCACUGUCACCAUUCCUGCGUGGACGACGUAACCCCAAUGCCGUCUCGAAUAACCUGGACGAGGCGGCCAACUUUGCGGGCGAUGCAGGGUGCGGUCCCUCAAGUUCGACAUCGUCCCUGGCUGUGGAGGCGGUCAAGUCGUCUAUCAACAUGCCCGACCUCGGCAUCGGCGACUCCUGUGUGAGCAGCUCGUGCAGCAAGAUCGAAGCUCGCCCGGUCAACAGCGCAGACUCUGCCAAUCAGAAAAUUCCCAGUACUAAAUCGAACGAGGCGGUUUCCGUGAGCGACACAAACGGGAUGAAGAGCGCGGAUGGUGUCGCCGACAGUUCAUCGAAUGACGUGAUAAAUUCCCAGGACUCGGAGGUCUCAUUGGGGAGGAAGACGAAAGUGCAGAAUGGCGACAUCACGUCUUCGUCCUCCAGUUCGACUUCAUCCCCGGCUUGCUCGGGUAACGGAGAGGUCUCAAGCAAUUCUAUUGGCAGCAAAUCACAUGAGAGGGCAGCAGCAGGUGGAACCCCCGCGGUCCGUUCUAAGGGCGCAGUGUCCAGUGGAAUCUCGUCAAGCACAACCUCAGUGGCCGCAGGCGGUUCCAGUGCGAAUGCUAAGGUACGGGCACAAGGAGAAAUGGACGACAGCAGUUCCGAUGAUGAUGCUGAUUUCCAUGCCGAAGAGGACAAUUCCAGCACAGAGGACGGUGAAGAGGAUUGCGAACCGUUUGAUGAUGAGUCGGACGAAGAUGAGAAUGAAGACGGAGAAGAUGAAGAGACCGACGAUGAUGAGGAAGGCCUCCUAGACGACGACGAUACUUCUUUCUGCCGCAAUAUGAUUGAAGAGCCCGGUAAAGAUAGUGGCUGCACUGCAGUUGUGGCACUAGUGAGCGGACGCGACUUAUACGUGGCGAAUGCAGGCGAUUCACGAUGUGUUGUCUGCCGAAAUGGAAAAGCAAUCGAAAUGAGUUUUGAUCACAAACCAGAAGACGAAGAGGAGAGCGAUCGUAUACAGAAAGCUGGCGGCAAAGUGACUUUAGACGGACGCGUCAAUGGCGGAUUGAAUUUGUCUCGAGCCAUUGGAGAUCAUGCUUACAAAAUGAAUCGAGAUAUACCACCGGAGAAGCAGAUGAUCUCCGCACUGCCAGACAUUAGGAAGCUAAUCAUCUCGCCGGCUGACGAGUUUAUGAUUCUUGCGUGUGAUGGUAUCUGGAAUUACAUGUCCAGUGACGAAGUAGUUGAGUUUGUAAAGAAGCGAUUGGAUGAGGGAUGUGUGAAAUUAUCACUAAUUUGCGAAGAGCUCUUUGACCAUUGCCUUGCACCGAACACAAUGGGCGACGGAACUGGCUGUGAUAAUAUGACGGCUCUUUUAAUACGUUUCAAACCCGCCCUUCAAAAUCUCUCGACAAAAAUUUCCGUUGAAUCUGAAGCGAUGCCCGUGAGCAGUGCAGCAGCGGCAGCCGCGGCAAAGAAACGUCUCGCUCCCCCAUUAAAUGCCGAAGACGAUAUAAGCAGUCUAGACAAUGAAUCAUCAAUCACUGAGGGAGGAGCCGCGCCUCCAGCAGCCAAGAAGCGUCCUGCAUCGCCAACCCGAAGUGAUGAGAAUAUUGUCUCCGGCGGCGCGGCAGCUCCAAGUGAAUCAUCAUCAUCAAGCAAUGAUGAUAACGCGGGCAAACGGUUGAAGACUGAGAACGAAGCUAAUGUAGCGAGCAGUAAGGAGGCGGUAGCCAUGCAAGAUGAGGAUGCUGCAAUGUCAUCGGUGACCACAUCGUCCACCGAAUCCACCGCGACUUUAACCACUGUCGAGAGUGAAAGUACAAUGUCGACGACAACGUCAACAACAUGAAUGACAAAGUCCCCCGAACGAUAAAAGAAAAGACUUGAAUAUUUUGAGUGAGGAAUUUUACACGAAAUGUAAGAACGGGAUCACUACUUUGAUAGAGGGGGAGGAGAUAGUUUUCUUUGUUUGCGAGUCUUCUUCGUUUAAAUUCAACUUCACAACAGAACAAGUAGCUACAAAUUGGUCACGGACAAACGAAUCUAGUAAUACACACUUUAUUUACCCCCAGUUUAGCUUGUAAUGGAGCGAAUCUUGAUAUGUUAGCGGUGAGGACACAUCCUGUCCCUCCUGGUGGACAUGUAUAAGUUUACUAAUAAUUAUUUUUAGUUGUGUAUUUUAUUAUUAUAAUUAUUCUUGUAUAUUUUAGAAUUUAUGCUUAAUUUCCGUGAAAGAAUGUGACUAUGUUCCUUAUCCAUUUGCUUUUCCUAUUGCCGCGAAAGAGCUGCUCGCGUUGAUUUCCUUUCUUUAGUUUGUUCUGAUCGUCUCGAUAGGAAUCAAUUGAUCAGAUCUGUUAAAUUGGACGAAAGACAUUGGGUUUAAUUAUAGCAGAUUUUUCCUAUUGACAAUUAUCGAUAAGAUUUUGGCAGAAACAGCAAAAUGUGCAAAUCCGUACAGUUCGCGAUUGCUCCCGGUUAUAUACUCGUUCUGAGACCUAUCGUUCAGUUUCCACCUACAUUUAUUGUUAAUUCGUAUUUAUGAUGAAUACAAGAGCCGUAAAUAAGUAAUAUUAAAAUAAACCACAAAAACAAUGAGAGAAAGUAUGCAUUGAGAUGAGAAAAUAUAUUUAAAUAAAAUUAAAGAGAGGAUUAAGAAUAGA